rnacentral:rRNA from 1 species
UUCGGUGGCUAUAGCGGAGAGGCCCCACCCGUUCCCAUUCCGAACACGGAAGUUAAGCUCUCCUGCGCCGAUGGUACUGCAUGGGAGACUGUGUGGGAGAGUAGGUGCUGCCGGAA